GCCGGCAAAAAAAUAUUGUGCUGUGCCUUCGUGUUGCAAAAGAUUCACUUUCUUUACAUAAACCAAAGACUAGAUUAAAACUCUCUCCAUUGAAAGAUUUGAUCGCCACAUCUCGAGAGACCCUGAGCUAUUGCUAUUUGAUCGUAAUUCGUUUAUCAGAAAAUGUCCGAAACAAAAUUGUACGCAAUUGUACAAUUUUUAGCUGAUGAAUCUUUCUCAGAGAUUCCAACAAAUUGGAUUCAACGAAAUAAUGAUGGCUUUAUUUGUUGGUGGCCUAACACAAAGAAUAUCAGUUCGCUUAUUAAAAAUCGAGAUGAACCGGAUAAAAAAUUAUGGUCAAGAUUUGAUAUAACGGUGAUAAAAUAUUGUUCGUCACUUGCAUCUGCC